CCAAACGCAAUCCUUUUUUAUGGCAGGCAUCCAGCAGAGGUCCCCCACAGCUUGCUGCUGUCAGCGCAGCCAGUGCCUGGAGAGGGGGAGGUGGAGCUGGGGAACCUUCCUGCAGCAUCUGCACGAAAUCAGACUUAUUAUUAUUAAGGCCAUAGAACCCUGGAUGCAUUAA
rnacentral:lncRNA from 1 species